UACGAGGGGGGCGAGCGUUGUUCGGAAUUAUUGGGCGUAAAGGGUGCGUAGGCGGUUUGGUAAGUCUGAUGUGAAAUCUAUGGGCUCAACUCAUAGUCUGCAUCGGAAACUGCCGGGCUUGAGUAUGGGAGAGGUGAGUGGAAUUCCUGGUGUAGCGGUGAAAUGCGUAGAGAUCGGGAGGAACACCAGCGGCGAAGGCGGCGACCUGGACGAGCACUGACACCCAACAACGAAAGCGUGGGGAGCAAACAGG
rnacentral:rRNA from 1 species